rnacentral:lncRNA from 1 species
CAUCACACCUUCUCCUCCUCCCUCAGUCUUUGUGGCACCAUCAUAUUGCUGGCUGCUUUGCUACUAUCGUUUGUCCUCCUUGUCCCCUUUCUUAUCUAGUGCAUGCUCUCAUCAUGGUUACCCUUCACCACUUCGAAUCAACAUUCUCCACCUUGCAGCCAUCUUUUGGAACUCUCUCAACUUUUACAGCAUCCUCACC